CACAGAGCAUCGGAAUAUUUAGCGAUGGAGACAGCAGAGAAAUCAAUUUACUCCAAGGCUAUAAAAUUGGUGUUAAAAAUUUACUGAGGCCUGAAGUGAGAGAUUUCUGGGAGAAAUUAGGAAGCUAUGUGGCCACUGAAGAAGAAGGGGGUCACGUGGACUUCUUCGUGCCCCUUGGAGCAUCAGAGGCAGGAAUUGAAGUUCUUUCCCAGCUGUCUCAACUAACUGGCACGUUCUUUACGGCCCCCACUGGGAUUGCAACUGGCUCUUACCAGCACAUUCUUAGUGAUUGGCUGGGAUCCCAAUGGGGAAAGGCCCCCUCUUCCAUCUACUUCUGCGAAUCGAAGCUACAGACGUGGUCCAGCUUCACAGACUUCCUAGAAGAAACCUUGAAAACAGUAAGGAAGCAGCUGUAUCCUUUCUUCAAGGAACUGCAGAAGAGCAUCAGUGGCAGGAUGAUAGGGCAGUUUAUGUUUGACACCAUGGGUAUGACCAACAUUCUAAACAACCAAGAUACUGCGCAAGCUCUGGCAGAUGGAUUGAUGGAGUUGUCAAAAGAAGAUUCUGACAAACCUCUGGAAUUUUUGUCGUAUUUUCUGCUGAAGAAAUGUGGCAAAAAGAUCAAAGAUUUUGAAGGAAAUGUUAUUCC
rnacentral:sRNA from 1 species